rnacentral:rRNA from 1 species
UACGGGGGGGGCAAGCGUUGUUCGGAAUUACUGGGCGUAAAGGGCUCGUAGGCGGCCAACUAAGUCAGACGUGAAAUCCCUCAGCUUAACUGGGGAACUGCGUCUGAUACUGGAUGGCUUGGAUUCGGGAGAGGAAUGCGGAAUUCCAGGUGUAGCGGUGAAAUGCGUAGAUAUCUGGAGGAACACCGGUGGCAAAGGCGGCAUUCUGGACCGAUAUUGACGCUGAGGAGCGAAAGCCAGGGGAGCAAACGGG